rnacentral:tRNA from 1 species
GGCUCAGUGGUCUAGUGGUAUGAUUCGCGCUUUGGGUGCGCGAGGCCGCGGGUUCGAUUCCCGCCUGAGCCC